rnacentral:lncRNA from 1 species
UGCAAAGGAACGUAAAAAGUGUAUAUAGAUUAUAGGCAAUGAUCAGAAAUAUCGGGAAAAAGGUUAGGGUAUAUGGUAGUGUUCAAAAAAAAAAAAAAAAAAAAAGGUUAGGGUAUAUGGUAUAUACGUAAUACCCAACGAGGACUAAGAUUUUAUCACGUCAGCCAUGUGGAUCAAGCGACGGCACAACAAACCCAGUGCAUGGUUAUUGGUCACGAACUGCCGCUCUGUAUCACUUCUUCCUCUGUUAAACCCAAUAUACGAGUCUAUUCGAAAAUCAUUACUAGUUAGUAGAUGAAAUACAAUUUUAUUCUACAAUUUUUUUUCAAGUCAAAAAUAUAUUUUGCUGGAGGAGCACAACUUUUUUUGUUAAUGUACAUGUUCUAUUUUUACAUGAAACGAUAGUUGUAAUUCUUUCCCCACAAAAAUUCCUCCACGAAAUUAUAAAAUCCUGGUUUAUAAACGGAUCAAUUCGUAUACCAUACCCGAUUAAAGAUUCAAAUCAGAUCAUAUCCAAAAAUAAACUUGACCCAAAAGAGAAACCGACUUUGUAUGCUUUUAAAAACCUGUAACACAGAAUUUUUUAAAUAAAAUUUUGUAGAAGAGCCCUAAACUCGUGUUUGAAGAUCAGUCACCACGAGG